AGUAGUAACUUUCAAAGCAAUGUCUACAAGUUUAAAUUCCUUAACCCUGUUCAAGGUUUGUACACACUCAAUAUUUAACUACAGUCCAGGUUUGCAAUUAACAAACUAUCUGAUAAGCCUGUGUAUGAGUCAGAUAUGUCUGCGGCUAAUCUAUUGGUUAUAAAAUAUCACAGCCUUUUCUGAUUGGCUGAGUUCAAAUACAGAAAGUUUACCUGUUAGAUUGAAAUUCUGGAGUAGGCGUAUUGUAGAAAAUAUGCAGGUUAAACUUGUUGUUAAAAUGAAGUUAAUGUAAUUUCACAAACAGUAGAGUUAAUGAGUUUUUCCAUUAACAAGAAUUUCUUAAAAUAAUAAUGUAUGGAUAUCAUUUGGAAAGUGACAUGAAAUGUUGUUAAAAAGUGAUGCAUACAAGUGUUUCAGAAGUCUGUCUAGGAAUAGAACAACAACUGAAGCUGACCAGUUGAUGGAAGAUACUGCAGAGUUUGGCAGGGAAAUAACCCAAGACAGCAAAGCAGCUCUUUUGGCGCAUUUACCAAGAGGACUAACAUGGCCACAAAUUCAUGAGAUCAUGCCGGAGCCGUACAGUAUAACAGCAGUACAAGUUCUAUAAAAGAUCCACGACCUACUGAAGCCCAGCUAAUUAACAAAAAAGUUUUUAAAAACUGUAAUUUUAUCCCACCUGGGUACUUAUAAUUUACUAAGCUGCCUACACAAGUUUUAGACUUGCAAUUAUAUUUUAAAUUGUCACUUGGAAAGUAAUACAUGUACAUGCAUUAUGUUCUGAAUUUCUUUGAAAAAUAAAAUUAUAUAAAAGUAUUUUAAUGAAAUUAAGCACCUAAAUUGCAUUAAAGUGAAAGUAGCUGAGAAAAAGAUGUGUUUGUGAAACACAAUGUCCCCCUUUAUGACGUUUGACCUUGAAGGAUGACCUUGACCCUUCACCACUCAAAAUGUGCAGCUCCAUGAGAUACACAUGCAUGUCAAAUAUAAAAUUGCUAGCUUCAAUAUUGCAGAAGUUACAUUACAUGAGCAAUUUUGACCCAUAUAUUUGACCUAGAAGGAUGACCUUGACCUU